rnacentral:tRNA from 1 species
GCGGGUUUAUUUCAACGUCAGAAUGCCUUUCUUCCUGAAGGGUGAUGUGUGGUUCAAUUCCCAUGACCCGCUCCA